UCGGCGCUGCCGUUGUGGGCGGCCCCCUCACCCCCACCCCAGGCUCUUGUCUGUAGCAGAUCCUGCUUUUGAUUUGGGCGUGAGGAAUUCGCCCAGGCCUGGGUGGAGCCGGGAGGCUGCCAUGGAGAGCAGCUGCAGAGAAAGUCAGCCCUGGACCUCCUCCAGCUAUGACAGGAAUGUGACCCUGCGCCUCGUUCAGCUGGGACGGGCGAAACAGCCAUUUUUAGCCGCCGAGUGGUCCCAGUCCAGCCUCUGCCAAGCUGAUGGGCCGGGCGCCUUUGGAAUCUGCCUAAUCCGAAUUGCACUGCGUGGGGAGGCAGGGGCUGUGGCACUGGUCCAGCUCCAGAGCACAGACGGGCAGCUUGCCGGCCUUUUGAGAAAGAGAUAAAUAGUUGCGGAACAAAGAAUAAUAUUUAUCUUGCUGGAGGCUUUACGGGGACACCAUGACCUGAUCCAUGUGGACAGCUGCAAGAACAAAGGAUUCUGACACCAAGAACUUUGCAACAACCAACCACACCCUGUCGCCUUUUUGGUACAAAAGGAGCCUGAAUUCUGACUUGGGGAAGAUGGUUCUCCAGGACAUUAGUCUGCCAUCCUCUCGUUCUGCCGGCUUUCUGAAUAAAGUCACUAUUC